CUCUACAAUUAUCAAAAAUAAAUAGUACUAAACAUGAUAACCUAAUUCAAAGAGUACAAAUACGAGUCAUAUAUAUCAACUCCAAAAUGAAACUAAUAUAUUUAUUUCACAGGAAACAAUUAUGUGAAAUAAUAACGAAAUUUGAAUAAACGACAAAACGAACAAAUCAAAUUUAACAAGAGUAUCGCUGAAAGAGUACGAAAUACGUACCUUAAAAUAGUACCAAAAUAAUUCACCAAUUCCAAACGUCACCCGCUAGACUCCCUCAAUUCGAU
rnacentral:lncRNA from 1 species